CUCUUAUUAUUUCUCCACUUUUUGUUCUGUUUUUUUGAGGCAAGGUCUCUCAACGAACCUGACCAGACCUUACCAUUUAGCUAUACUGACUGGCCUGUGUGCUCCGGGAUCUUCCUGUCUCAGCUUCCCUCACUGGGAUUCCAGGCCCAUGCUGCCACACCCAGCCGUAUAUGUGUCAAUCCUCCAGCUCUUGUGUCAAAACAUUUCUUACUUCAGGAGGUGUCCGGCCUCAGAAAAUGCUGCUCCAAAGUCCUUUGGAUGGAAUUGAAUGAGACCUAGAGGAUUCACAAGGAAUCUCCAUUUUGAAGAUGGUGGCAGAUUCAAGAUCAGAAGUCUCACAGAGAGGGCUCCUGCUGAACGCCUGGGAGAAGAAUAGACCAGAAGGAGGCUGGACACAGAGGCUGUGUGGGGCCACUCCAGCCUAUCACCAGGACACCUAAGCCUUCUGUCCAGUUGUGCUUUACACUGUCCUCCAGGCUUCCAAACAGUUUUCAUUGAGUCUUUGGAUGCUCAUUUCUGAAGCCACAUUAAAUCGAGGCUACUUCCUCUUAUUAACCUUUCUUUUUGUUGUUUGGAGACAGGGUAUGAUUAUGUAGCUUUGGCUGGCUUAGAAUUUAUCAUAUAGACCAGGAUACCCUUGAGUCCCUCCUUCCUCUGACUCCUAAAUCUGAGUGCUGAGACAAAAGAUGUGUGUCACCGCGCAUGGCAGCCUGUCUUUUGUUAUUAGGCAUGCUGGCUCUGCCUUUAUGGGGAGCAAGAAGUAUCAAACCUUCCUACUACAGAAGUCCCACGUUAAGGGAAAUCUAGAGUAAGCCUAGAUCAGAGAACGUACUAAUUACUAGCAUAGUUCUUUGACUCCAGGGAUAUGAAAAUGUCACCAUUUAAAACCUCAGUAGGGGACCACCUCAGUUUAACAUCAGGGAAGUGAAUGAAAUCUCAUACCGUAGGGUCAGGCACAGGAUGCUCAUAUUCAAGAACCCAG
rnacentral:lncRNA from 1 species